rnacentral:tRNA from 5 species
CGCGGAGUGGAGCAGUUGGCAGCUCGUCGGGCUCAUAACCCGAAGGUCGGAGGUUCAAGUCCUUCCUCCGCAACCA